CGGNAUGAGUACACUUUAAAUCCUUUAACGAGUAUCCAUUGGAGGGCAAGUCUGGUGCCAGCAGCCGCGGUAAUUCCAGCUCCAAUAGCGUAUAUUAAAGUUGUUGCGGUUAAAAAGCUCGUAGUUGGACUUGUGUCCCACGCUGUCGGUUCACCGCCCGUCGGUGUUUAACUGACAUGUAUCGUGGGACGUCCUGCCGGUGGUGGCGAGUCGAAAGAUCGCGCCCCCGUGGUUCUCCGCGGGUAGGUGGCGGUCCUAGGCGAACCCCGAUGAAAUCCUACUCCGGUGCUCUUAAACGAGUGUCGAGGUGGGCCGGCACGUUUACUUUGAACAAAUUAGAGUGCUUAAAGCAGGCCUGAUGCGCCUGAAUACUGUGUGCAUGGAAUAAUGGAAUAGGACCUCGGUUCUAUUUUGUUGGUUUUCGGAACCCGAGGUAAUGAUUAAUAGGGACAGUCGGGGGCAUUCGUAUUGCGACGUUAGAGGUGAAAUUCUUGGAUCGUCGCAAGACGGACCGAAGCGAAAGCAUUUGCCAAGUAUGUUUUCAUUAAUCAAGAACGAAAGUUAGAGGUUCGAAGGCGAUCAGAUACCGCCCUAGUUCUAACCAUAAACGAUGCCAGCUAGCGAUCCGCCGAAGUUCCUCCGAUGACUCGGCGGGCAGCUCCCGGGAAACCAAAGCUUUUGGGUUCCGGGGGAAGUAUGGUUGCAAAGCUGAAACUUAAAGGAAUUGACGGAAGGGCACCACCAGGAGUGGAGCCUGCGGCUUAAUUUGACUCAACA
rnacentral:rRNA from 1 species